GACGAACGCUGGCGGCGUGCUUAACACAUGCAAGUCGAACGGAAAGGCCCUGCUUUUGUGGGGUGCUCGAGUGGCGAACGGGUGAGUAACACGUGAGUAACCUGCCCUUGACUUUGGGAUAACAUCAGGAAAAUGGGGCUAAUACCGGAUAGGAGCUCCUGAUGCAUGGUGGGGGUUGGAAAGUUUCGGCGGUGGGGGAUGGACUCGCGGCUUAUCAGCUUGUUGGUGGGGUAGUGGCUUACAAAGGCUUUGACGGGUAGCCGGCCUGAGAGGGUGACCGGCCACAUUGGUACUGAGAUACGGCCCAGACUCCUACCGGCGGCAGCAGUGGGGAAUAUUGCACAAUGGGCGGAAGCCUGAUGCAGCAACGCCGCGUGCGGGAUGACGGCCUUCGGGUUGUAAACCUCUUUCGCCUGUGACGAAGCGUGAGUGACGGUAAUGGGUAAAGAAGCACCGGCUAACUACGUG
rnacentral:rRNA from 1 species